CGCAGAGCUAAAGUUAGAUUCAGCCAUCAAUCUGAGCCGCACUUGAAGUAAACAGCAAGCUCUACCACGGCUUUGCUCUGGAUGCAUCCUCCGCCAGCUGCAAUGCACUUAAACUGCUUUGGCAAAUUGAAAAUGAAACCAGGGUUUCUCAAGACGCCGCGCGCAUUGAAAGAGAGACGGUGAGGCGGACCCUUUCAAGAACAACAAAUUCAAUCAUGGGGAUCGACUGUCUGCUACUGGGCCUUUCAGCUUUGUGGGUGGAAGCAGAUCGCCUGCAGAUCGCUGUGACCGGCGGCACUGACCACAAGAUACUCCAGAGUUGCCUGGCAGUAUGGAAACAACGGGGCACCCCCGCUUUUCUCAUCGCUAAGCCGCUGUCUGCUGUCCGGUGGCCCCGGAUAAACGUGUUACGCCAUGGAAGACUCUGCCAACAACACCCGUCAGCCCCACACCUCCACCUACCGAACUCUGUGUUUCCCAGACGACAAAGUGUCAGCUCACAUCCUAAUGACAUGAUUUCGCCUCACAGUUGUAAAAUUGCAUAACGUCUCCCUUCCGUAGUCGAUAGGAGUUCAUCCAGAGUUUUAUUUCUGCACAAGUUGGUUUUAUCAAAUAUUAUGAAGCCGAACACUAGGCAAGUACUCUGCUGCAGGUGCCGAGGGCAAGAAACUUGAUUUUUGCUUAGUGAAAUAAGCAAACCCCCCAACAACACAGCGUUAAUUAUUCACCCUCACUGGACCAGUGGGACAUUCUGAUAUGACUGGAGGUGGUUACAGGGUCUAAGGUUGCAGAGUAGACAUGACAGAGGUUGAAAUGUUUGCUGCCAAGAAAUAUGGGCCCAUCUGAUGUGAAAGCUGCCCACAGGGCGUCAGAAUGAAUGGUAAUAAUCUAUCAGGAGGGAAUGCAGCCGGAAUUAUGAACCACCCCCCCAGAAGGAAUGAAAGACAAGGAAAUGACCCCUUUUUAUUAUUUUGUCAUUUGCACUGUUGAUCCUUUUGCUUUCCCACUUAGAAAAAAGACUGAUGGUUGGCUUAAGCUGAAACUUGUUCGUGUUAAUAUUGCACUUAUUCAACCAUGAGAUAAAGACUCAUACACAAAAGAAAGGUGUGGGCCCGUCCUGUUGAUCACAGGUAAAACGAAUGUCUCUCUGCCAAAACAAGCAGCCAUGAGCACCAGAGGGCGGGGCUUGGAAAGCUGCAC
ensembl:lncRNA